rnacentral:snoRNA from 1 species
UGCAGCCGUGUCAGAUGCAGUGCGUGCCCCACCCAUGGCUGGCACUGGCCCAAAAGGCUGCCACAGAGACACUGUAACUCAUGGGCCCUGUUCCUCUCUGCUGAGCCUCAGGGAUAAACGUUGUUACAGACAUUG